GGGUUGUGAGGUUAAGCGACUAAGCGUACACGGUGGAUGCCCUGGCAGUCAGAGGCGAUGAAGGACGUGCUAAUCUGCGAUAAGCGUCGGUAAGGUGAUAUGAACCGUUAUAACCGGCGAUUUCCGAAUGGGGAAACCCAGUGUGUUUCGACACACUAUCAUUAACUGAAUCCAUAGGUUAAUGAGGCGAACCGGGGGAACUGAAACAUCUAAGUACCCCGAGGAAAAGAAAUCAACCGAGAUUCCCCCAGUAGCGGCGAGCGAACGGGGAGCAGCCCAGAGCCUGAAUCAGUAUGUGUGUUAGUGGAAGCGUCUGGAAAGGCGCGCGAUACAGGGUGACAGCCCCGUACACAAAAAUGCACAUGCUGUGAGCUCGAUGAGUAGGGCGGGACACGUGGUAUCCUGUCUGAAUAUGGGGGGACCAUCCUCCAAGGCUAAAUACUCCUGACUGACCGAUAGUGAACCAGUACCGUGAGGGAAAGGCGAAAAGAACCCCGGCGAGGGGAGUGAAAAAGAACCUGAAACCGUGUACGUACAAGCAGUGGGAGCACGCUUAGGCGUGUGACUGCGUACCUUUUGUAUAAUGGGUCAGCGACUUAUAUUCUGUAGCAAGGUUAACCGAAUAGGGGAGCCGAAGGGAAACCGAGUCUUAACUGGGCGUUAAGUUGCAGGGUAUAGACCCGAAACCCGGUGAUCUAGCCAUGGGCAGGUUGAAGGUUGGGUAACACUAACUGGAGGACCGAACCGACUAAUGUUGAAAAAUUAGCGGAUGACUUGUGGCUGGGGGUGAAAGGCCAAUCAAACCGGGAGAUAGCUGGUUCUCCCCGAAAGCUAUUUAGGUAGCGCCUCGUGAAUUCAUCUCCGGGGGUAGAGCACUGUUUCGGCAAGGGGGUCAUCCCGACUUACCAACCCGAUGCAAACUGCGAAUACCGGAGAAUGUUAUCACGGGAGACACACGGCGGGUGCUAACGUCCGUCGUGAAGAGGGAAACAACCCAGACCGCCAGCUAAGGUCCCAAAGUCAUGGUUAAGUGGGAAACGAUGUGGGAAGGCCCAGACAGCCAGGAUGUUGGCUUAGAAGCAGCCAUCAUUUAAAGAAAGCGUAAUAGCUCACUGGUCGAGUCGGCCUGCGCGGAAGAUGUAACGGGGCUAAACCAUGCACCGAAGCUGCGGCAGCGACACUAUGUGUUGUUGGGUAGGGGAGCGUUCUGUAAGCCUGUGAAGGUGUGCUGUGAGGCAUGCUGGAGGUAUCAGAAGUGCGAAUGCUGACAUAAGUAACGAUAAAGCGGGUGAAAAGCCCGCUCGCCGGAAGACCAAGGGUUCCUGUCCAACGUUAAUCGGGGCAGGGUGAGUCGACCCCUAAGGCGAGGCCGAAAGGCGUAGUCGAUGGGAAACAGGUUAAUAUUCCUGUACUUGGUGUUACUGCGAAGGGGGGACGGAGAAGGCUAUGUUGGCCGGGCGACGGUUGUCCCGGUUUAAGCGUGUAGGCUGGUUUUCCAGGCAAAUCCGGAAAAUCAAGGCUGAGGCGUGAUGACGAGGCACUACGGUGCUGAAGCAACAAAUGCCCUGCUUCCAGGAAAAGCCUCUAAGCAUCAGGUAACAUCAAAUCGUACCCCAAACCGACACAGGUGGUCAGGUAGAGAAUACCAAGGCGCUUGAGAGAACUCGGGUGAAGGAACUAGGCAAAAUGGUGCCGUAACUUCGGGAGAAGGCACGCUGAUAUGUAGGUGAAGUCCCUCGCGGAUGGAGCUGAAAUCAGUCGAAGAUACCAGCUGGCUGCAACUGUUUAUUAAAAACACAGCACUGUGCAAACACGAAAGUGGACGUAUACGGUGUGACGCCUGCCCGGUGCCGGAAGGUUAAUUGAUGGGGUUAGCCGCAAGGCGAAGCUCUUGAUCGAAGCCCCGGUAAACGGCGGCCGUAACUAUAACGGUCCUAAGGUAGCGAAAUUCCUUGUCGGGUAAGUUCCGACCUGCACGAAUGGCGUAAUGAUGGCCAGGCUGUCUCCACCCGAGACUCAGUGAAAUUGAACUCGCUGUGAAGAUGCAGUGUACCCGCGGCAAGACGGAAAGACCCCGUGAACCUUUACUAUAGCUUGACACUGAACAUUGAGCCUUGAUGUGUAGGAUAGGUGGGAGGCUUUGAAGUGUGGACGCCAGUCUGCAUGGAGCCGACCUUGAAAUACCACCCUUUAAUGUUUGAUGUUCUAACGUUGACCCGUAAUCCGGGUUGCGGACAGUGUCUGGUGGGUAGUUUGACUGGGGCGGUCUCCUCCUAAAGAGUAACGGAGGAGCACGAAGGUUGGCUAAUCCUGGUCGGACAUCAGGAGGUUAGUGCAAUGGCAUAAGCCAGCUUGACUGCGAGCGUGACGGCGCGAGCAGGUGCGAAAGCAGGUCAUAGUGAUCCGGUGGUUCUGAAUGGAAGGGCCAUCGCUCAACGGAUAAAAGGUACUCCGGGGAUAACAGGCUGAUACCGCCCAAGAGUUCAUAUCGACGGCGGUGUUUGGCACCUCGAUGUCGGCUCAUCACAUCCUGGGGCUGAAGUAGGUCCCAAGGGUAUGGCUGUUCGCCAUUUAAAGUGGUACGCGAGCUGGGUUUAGAACGUCGUGAGACAGUUCGGUCCCUAUCUGCCGUGGGCGCUGGAGAACUGAGGGGGGCUGCUCCUAGUACGAGAGGACCGGAGUGGACGCAUCACUGGUGUUCGGGUUGUCAUGCCAAUGGCACUGCCCGGUAGCUAAAUGCGGAAGAGAUAAGUGCUGAAAGCAUCUAAGCACGAAACUUGCCCCGAGAUGAGUUCUCCCUGAC
rnacentral:rRNA from 1 species